rnacentral:rRNA from 1 species
GACGAACGCUGGCGGCGUGCUUAACACAUGCAAGUCGAACGAUGAAGCCCAGCUUGCUGGGUGGACUAGUGGCGAAAGGGUGUGUAACACGUGAGUAUCCUGUCCUCAACUCUGGGAUAUGCCUGGGAAACUGGGUCUAAUACCGGAUAGAGGCGUCCACCGCACGGUGGGUGUUGGAAAGAUUUACCGGUUUUGGAUGGACUCGCGGCUUAUCAGCUUGUUGGUGGGGUAAUGGCUCACCAAGGCGACGACGGGUAGCCGGCCUGAGAGGGUGACCGGCCACACUGGGACUGAGACACGGCCCAGACUCCUACGGGAGGCAGCAGUGGGGAAUAUUGCACAAUGGGCGGAAGCCUGAUGCAGCGACGCCGCGUGAGGGAUGACGGCCUUCGGGUUGUAAACCGCUUUCGGUAGGGAAGAAGCGAGAGUGACGGUACCGGGAAAAGAAGCACCGGCUAACUACGUG